CAAGGGGCGGGUGUAGCAGGCAAUCUUGGCGAAACUGGGAAGGGCGGGCAGGAGGGCAGGGAAGCCGCUCACCCAGGCACAAAGCGCCUCCCGCUUGAGCGGACUCCAAAGGGACGGUCCGCGGUGUGCAGCGAGCUGCGCUCAGGGGACCUUGCGCCCGGCCCUUCUGCUGCACACAGCCCACCCAGGACCUCCCGCAGCGCUGACAGGCGGGGCGGGUGCAAAGACGGGGCGGGGUCUCUGCGCCCGGCCCCCUCCCCUGACUAUCAAAGCAGCGGCCGGCUGUUGGGGUCCACCACGCCUUCCACCUGCCCCACUGCUUCUUCGCUUCUCUCUUGGAAAGUCCAGUCUCUCCUCGGCUUGCAAUGGACCCCAACUGCUCCUGCGCCGCUGGUGUCUCCUGCACCUGCGCUGGUUCCUGCAAGUGCAAAGAGUGCAAAUGCACCUCCUGCAAGAAGAGCUGCUGCUCCUGCUGCCCCGUGGGCUGUAGCAAGUGUGCCCAGGGCUGUGUUUGCAAAGGGGCGUCAGAGAAGUGCAGCUGCUGCGACUGAUGCCAGGACAACCUUUCUCCCAGAUGUAAACAGAGAGACAUGUACAAACCUGGAUUUUUUUUUUAUACCACCUUGACCCAUUUGCUACAUUCCUUUUCCUGUGAAAUAUGGCAGCAAAGUGACUGGAGAUGUGGAGGAAAGCGUCAUCUCGGCAACGCAGAGUCAUGAGAAGGACUGGGUGCAGAUGAAGGAUGUUGAGUGUGCUGAUGCAGUGGUGAUGGCAUAUUCUGCAGUUGGAAGGUGUGUUGCUGUUCAAGAAGGAGAGAGGAGUCACCCUGGUGACUGGUAGUUAGGCCAACAGUAGGUUCCACUGGCUACUGGUUCGAGAAUUGCUAUCUGAUGUUCAAUCACAGAGGAAGAGGAGUUAAGUGGCCCAGGAGUCAGGACCAUGCUUGCCCGCAGGUGCCCUUUGUGAAGAGGGCAUUUCAGAAGGCAGCGUGGGUCAUGUGCAAGUUUGGGUGUCACAUAACCAGAUUCACAGCCCACUUCACACCUUCCUGGCUGUGUAGCUGGCACAAGUCACUUAACCUCUCUGUGCCUCCAUUUCCUCACUUGUAGAAAGCAGAUUAUAAAUAUAUGUAGGGAUUAAAUGUGAUAGUGCCCUGGUACCUGGCUCGGGCUUAAUAAACAGUGCUGUUAUAAUCAUUUGUCCACGUGCACUUCCUGGAGAUAGAAUCCUGUUACAUCUCAUCAA
rnacentral:lncRNA from 1 species